CGAUAUCAUGCUGAAAACACCGGUUCUCGUCCGAUCACCGAAGUUAAACAUCAUAGUGUGCAGUCAGUGCUUGGGAGGGUGACCACCUGGAAACACUGCAUGCCGUU